CUCUGGCCCCCUGAGACUCUGAACUAGAAUAACUGGAGCCCCAUAGUUUCCUGCAGUGAGAUCAAUCACCCUCUUAGAUACCUUCAGAGAAUCCUGGACUAUCUUAUAAUGGCACACACUGAGUUAUGUAGUGAUAUCCCCGUUUUAUUCCUG